UCCUAUAAGGGUUGGGAGUAUUACCAACCCUUAUAGGGAACAUGUAGCAAGUAUCA
rnacentral:ncRNA from 1 species